rnacentral:rRNA from 1 species
UAUGUAGGGUGCGAGCGUUAAUCGGAAUUACUGGGCGUAAAGCGUGCGCAGGCGGUUCGUUAAGUUCGUUGUGAAAGCCCCGGGCUCAACCUGGGAACUGCAAUGGAAACUGGCGGGCUUGAGUGUGGCAGAGGGGGGUGGAAUUCCGCGUGUAGCAGUGAAAUGCGUAGAGAUGCGGAGGAACACCGAUGGCGAAGGCGGCCUGCUGGGACGUGGCUGACGCUGAGGCGCGACAGCGUGGGGAGCAAACAGG